CCCCCCAGCUCAGACCCAUCGGGGCGAGCGGCCUUCAAACACAAACCAUGAACAUACAUAUCACCUAGGGCUGUACCAGCCCUAACUAGCUUCUCAGUUACAGGAAGUGGCUUAUUGUAGGUGGCUUUUACCUCGUCCCUUGUAGUUUAAGGAGCCCCCACCCAAUAGGAUAACCCACAUAGCUAGCCUCCUCUAAUCCUAGAUUACCUCUUUUCCCUUUGCUUUCACUGUCAGUGGUUGCUGCUGUGCUCUUCCUGCACAGGUGCCUUGCGCACCCUGUAAUGAUGCCGAUGCCAGGAUGAUGUUAUAUGCCGGCUCACUGCAGGGCGAAGACAGUCAGACACAGUCAGAUGCACACAGUUAUACACAUAUAUUGUCAAAUACAGCCACAUGCACACAGUCCCAGACACAUAGUCACUCACACACAGUCAAACACACAGUUACAGGCAGACAGACACACACACACACACACAGUUACAGGCAGACUGUAACACAGUAACAGGCAGCAUCACACACACUCAGUGACACGCAGACAGUCACACACACACAGUCACAGGCAGUCAUACACAGUCCCAGGUAGACAGUCACACACACAGCCACAGAAGGUCAGUCACACACACAGUUACAGGCAGACAGUCACAAGCAGUCCCAGGUAGACAGUCACAUGCAGACAUUUACACACACAGGCAGACAGUCACAGACGCAGUCACAGGCAUUCACACACAGAGAGGCACAGGCAGGACAGUCAAACACAGUCACAGACGCAGUCACAGGCAGACAGUCACACACACACACACACAGUUACAGGCAGACAGUCACACAUACAGUCACAGUUUUAAACACACACACACAGCACACACUCUCUCUCACUUACUGGUGGAGGAGUGGAGUCAGUGAAGUCCCUGGUGUGUAGUAGUUGGGGAAGCACUCAAUCUCUGUGUUGUACUCCUGCUGUAUUCCCGGCCCCUGCGUGUGUGAGCUGUCUCAGCUGCACACAGCUCACAGAACCGUAAGCCUGGCCAGCCCUG